rnacentral:misc_RNA from 1 species
GGUGCCGGGCCGGUAGCGGUGC